rnacentral:rRNA from 1 species
UACUCGAGUGGCGAACGGGUGAGUAACACGUGGGUGAUCUGCCCUGCACUUCGGGAUAAGCUUGGGAAACUUGGGUCUAAUACCGGAUAGGAACCAUCUUUAGUGUGGUGGUUGGAAAGUUUUUUCGGUGUAGGAUGAGCUCGCGGCCUAUCAGCUUGUUGGUGGGGUAAUGGCCUACCAAGGCGUCGACGGGUAGCCGGCCUGAGAGGGUGUACGGCCACAUUGGGACUGAGAUACGGCCCAG